rnacentral:rRNA from 1 species
AUGGGUGCCCCUACGGUGGUGGCGCUGACCCUAGCCUGGGGGCUGAUGCCGGACUUCUCUAACCACGGUUUGUGCACGGUGAAGCGGAUAGUCGGCUUUGUCUCGUGGCAUGGAUGCCGGGGCGGCGGCCCUGGAAGGUGGUCCACAUGGUUGGCUCUCCGGCGGGCACCAUGGCGGCGGUGGUGGCAUUGUCUCUUGGUCGUGUGGGCGGCGACAGGCUUGGCGCAAGGUAGCUCGGGCGUGCUCUCGGUCUCCGUGGGGGCGUCUCAAUCCGGAUCUAGGGACAUGAGCUCGUCAUGCUUCUUCUGA